rnacentral:rRNA from 1 species
UACAGAGGUCCCAAGCGUUGUUCGGAUUCACUGGGCGUAAAGGGUGCGCAGGUGGGUUGGCAAGUUCGAUGUGAAAGCCCGGGCUUAACCCGGGAAUGGCAUUGGAAACUGCUGAUCUGGAGGAUCGGAGGGGGACUGGAAUUCUUGGUGUAGCAGUGAAAUGCGUAGAUAUCAAAGAGGAACACCAGUGGCGAAGGCGAGUCCCUGGACAAUACCUGACACUGAGGCACGAAAGCCCAAGGGAGCAAACAGGAAUUAGAGUACC